rnacentral:misc_RNA from 1 species
UCGUAACAAGGUCUCCGUAGGUGAACCUGCGGAGGGAUCAUUACACAAAUAUGAAGGCGGGCUGGAAUCUCUCGGGGUUACAGCCUUGCUGAAUUAUUCACCCUUGUCUUUUGCGUACUUCUUGUUUCCUUGGUGGGUUCGCCCACCACUAGGACAAACAUAAACCUUUUGUAAUUGCAAUCAGCGUCAGUAACAAAUUAAUAAUUACAACUUUCAACAACGGAUCUCUUGGUUCUGGCAUCGAUGAAGAACGCAGCGAAAUGCGAUAAGUAGUGUGAAUUGCAGAAUUCAGUGAAUCAUCGAAUCUUUGAACGCACAUUGCGCCCUUUGGUAUUCCAAAGGGCAUGCCUGUUCGAGCGUCAUUUGUACCCUCAAGCUUUGCUUGGUGUUGGGCGUCUUGUCUCUAGCUUUGCUGGAGACUCGCCUUAAAGUAAUUGGCAGCCGGCCUACUGGUUUCGGAGCGCAGCACAAGUCGCACUCUCUAUCAGCAAAGGUCUAGCAUCCAUUAAGCCUUUUUUCAACUUUUGACCUCGGAUCAGGUAGGGAUACCCGCUGAACUUAAGCAUAUCAAUAA